AUGGGAUUUUCUCCCUUCAACGUACACAAUGUCGCCAUAUCUUACCCUCGAUACCUUCGAGGAUGGAGGAGGAGAGAGGAUGCUGGAUGGAGGAGAGAGGAUGCUAGAUGGAGGAGGGGAGAGAGGAUGCUGGAUGGAGGAGGGGAGAGGAUGCUGGAUGGAGGAGGGGAGAGGAUGCUGGAUGGAGGAGGAGAGAGGAUGCUGGAUGGAGGAGGAGGAGAGAGGAUGCUAGAUGGAGGAGGGGAGAGGAUGCUGGAUGGAGGAGGGGAGAGGAUGCUGGAUGGAGGAGGAGGAGAGAGGAUCCUGGAUGGAGGAGGGGAGAGGAUGCUGGAUGGAGGAGGAGGAGAGAGGAUCCUGGAUGGAGGAGGAGGAGAGAGGAUCCUGGAUGGAGGAGGGGAGAGGAUGCUGGAUGGAGGAGGAGGAGAGAGGAUCCUGGAUGGAGGAGGGGAGAGGAUGCUGGAUGGAGGAGGAGGAGAGAGGAUCCUGGAUGGAGGAGGAGGAGAGAGGAUCCUGGAUGGAGGAGGGGAGAGGAUGCUGGAUGGAGGAGGAGGGGAGAGGAUGCUGGAUGGAGGAGGGGAGAGGAUGCUGGAUGGAGGAGGAGGAGAGAGGAUCCUGGAUGGAGGAGGAGGAGAGAGGAUCCUGGAUGGAGGAGGAGGAGAGAGGAUGCUGUUUGGAGGAGGGGAGAGGAUGGUGGAUGGAGGAGGAGGAGAGAGGAUCCUGGAUGGAGGAGGGGAGAGGAUGCUGGAUGGAGGAGGAGGGGAGAGGAUGCUGGAUGGAGGAGGGGAGAGGAUCCUGGAUGGAGGAGGAGGAGAGAGGAUGCUGGAUGGAGGAGGGGAGAGGAUGCUGGAUGGAGGAGGGGAGAGGAUGCUGGAUGGAGGAGGAGGAGAGAGGAUGCUAGAUGGAGGAGGAGGAGAGAGGAUGCUAGAUGGAGGAGGAGGAGAGAGGAUGCUAGAUGGAGGAGGGGAGAGGAUGCUGGAUGGAGGAGGAGGAGAGAGGAUCCUGGAUGGAGGAGGGGAGAGGAUGCUGGAUUGUGGAUGCAGAGGAGAAAUCAUGGUAGACAGAUUAAGGAUCAAAUCGGCACAGGUUGCAAUGAGAGAAAAACUGAAGAAGUUAACGGAUGACUCAUAUUUGUGUGAUGAUUUGGAGACUUUACAA
rnacentral:lncRNA from 1 species